GAUGAACGCUGUCUACAGGCUUAACACAUGCAAGUCGAGGGGAAACGACGGGGAAGCUUGCUUCCCCGGGCGUCGACCGGCGCACGGGUGAGUAACGCGUAUCCAACCUGCCUCUGACUGAGGGAUAACCCGUCGAAAGUCGGCCUAAUACCUCAUGGCAUCGUCUGCGGGCAUCCAACGACGAUUAAAGAUUUCAUCGGUCAGGGAUGGGGAUGCGUCUGAUUAGCUUGUUGGUGGGGUAACGGCCCACCAAGGCUACGAUCAGUAGGGGUUCUGAGAGGAAGGUCCCCCACAUGGGAACUGGGACACUGGCCAAACUCCUACGGGAGGCAGCAGUGAGGAAGAUUGGUCAAUGGGCGGGAGCCUGAACCAGGCAAGUAGCGUGCAGGAUGACGGCCCUAGGGGUUGUAAACUGCUUUUAGGCGGGGAUAAAGUGAGGGACGUGUCCUUCAUUGCAGGUACCGCAUGAAUAAGGACCGGCUAAUUCCGUG
rnacentral:rRNA from 1 species